CGGCAACAGCUCAAUUUGAAAUCUGGCUUCGGCCCGAGUUGUAAUUUGCAGAGGAAGCUUUAGGCGCGGCACCAACUGAGUCCCCUGGAACGGGGCGCCACAGAGGGUGAGAGCCCCGUAUAGUUGGACGCCUAGCCUGUGUAAAGCUCCUUCGACGAGUCGAGUAGUUUGGGAAUGCUGCUCAAAAUGGGAGGUAAAUUUCUUCUAAAGCUAAAUACCGGCCAGAGACCGAUAGCGCACAAGUAGAGUGAUCGAAAGAUGAAAAGCACUUUGAAAAGAGGGUUAAAUAGCACGUGAAAUUGUUGAAAGGGAAGCGCUUGUGACCAGACUUGCGCCCGGCUGAUCAUCCGGUGUUCUCACCGGUGCACUCUGCCGGGCUCAGGCCAGCAUCGGUUCUCGCGGGGGGACAAAGGUCCUGGGAACGUGGCUCCUCCGGGAGUGUUAUAGCCCAGGGCGUCAUGCCCUCGCGGGGACCGAGGUUCGCGCAUCUGCAAGGAUGCUGGCGUAAUGGUCAUCAGCGACCCGU
rnacentral:rRNA from 1 species